rnacentral:rRNA from 1 species
GACGAACGCUGGCGGCGUGCUUAACACAUGCAAGUCGAACGAUGAAGCCGGAGCUUGCUCUGGUGAAUUAGUGGCGAACGGGUGAGUAACACGUGAGUAACCUGCCCUUGACUCUGGGAUAACUGCUAGAAAUGGUAGCUAAUACCGGAUACGACCCUCGGAGGCAUCUCCAGGGGGUGGAAAGAAUUUCGGUCAAGGAUGGACUCGCGGCCUAUCAGCUAGUUGGUGAGGUAACGGCUCACCAAGGCGACGACGGGUAGCCGGCCUGAGAGGGUGACCGGCCACACUGGGACUGAGAUACGGCCCAGACUCCUACGGGAGGCAGCAGUGGGGAAUAUUGCACAAUGGGCGCAAGCCUGAUGCAGCGACGCCGCGUGAGGGAUGACGGCCUUCGGGUUGUAAACCUCUUUCAGCAGGGACGAAGCGCAAGUGACGGUACCUGUAGAAGAAGCACCGGCCAACUACGUGCCAGCCGCCGCCGUAA